rnacentral:rRNA from 1 species
UACGAAGGGGGCUAGCGUUGCUCGGAAUCACUGGGCGUAAAGAGCGCGCAGGCGGUCGUUCAAGUCGAGUGUGAAAGCCCCCGGCUCAACUGGGGAGGGUCAUUCGAUACUGAUCGACUGGAAGGCAGGAGAGGGAAGCGGAAUUCCCGGUGUAGUGGUGAAGUGCGUAGAUAUCGGGAGGAACACCAGUGGCGAAGGCGGCUUCCUGGCCUGUUCUUGACGCUGAGGCGCGAAAGCUAGGGGAGCAAACGGG